rnacentral:lncRNA from 1 species
GGAAUGCUGUUAAUACGAAUAUAAUAAAUUGUACUAAAUAUUUUUUCACGCGAAUUUCUUCGUUUUAAUCGUAAAACAAAUAAAAUGUAUGGAAAUAAGGGAACACGCAACUCUUCUUCAACGAUCACCACGGUGGUAUAUAUAUAUAUAUAAAUACGAGCGUAUUAUUUACUAAAGACGUUUCAAUGAAAGAAACCGAUUCAGGUGGAAAAAAGAAAUGUUUGCGAAAAAAAGAAACAGUAAAGAGAUAAAGAAGUUGAAAAAAGGAGGAUGGGAAGGGGGCCACGCUUCGCAAGUAGAGCACGCAUCGUGCCGAGGGCACAGGUAAUCGCGCGCGCACCGAACAUUGCGCGCUUACGUAUCCUCCCUCUCCGCCCCCGCCCUUUCUAUUCCUUCUCCCACUCUAUCACCUCUAUUUCUAUCUUUCUCCCGCGUUCUCCCUUCUUCACCUCUUCAUCCUCAACCCCCCCCCUCGGUCGCCCUUUUCUACCACUACGCGCGCAUAGCGCUCUUACAAAACUCUCUACGCACACACUUACACGUACAAUAUUCUCUAUAUACGAUGAGUGUGUAUAAUACAUCGCGACGUACUACACGAGACGAUCCGCCGCGCACGCGAGGCCGAACAAGCAAACAAUACACAUACAAAACCAAGUGUUUCUAUCCAUAGUUAGAAACUAAUCGGCCAAAGGAUUAUUGCGGGUCACCGGGUGUUCAACCUUCCGUAUAUACCUAACACGGUUCGAUACCAUGAGAAACACCGGCUCGAUUAUUAUAAAUAGAGAGCCGCCGAAAUGUUUGCGUCAUUCGGCUUAUAACGAUGAUGGUAACAACGACAAUGACAA